rnacentral:rRNA from 1 species
UACAGAGGGUGCGAGCGUUGUCCGGAAUCACUGGGCGUAAAGGGCGCGUAGGCGGCCCGCGCAAGCGUGCGGUGAAAGCCCGGGGCUCAACCCCGGGUCGGCCGUGCGGACUGCGGGGCUCGAGCACUGUAGGGGCAGAUGGAAUUCCGGGUGUAGCGGUGGAAUGCGUAGAGAUCCGGAAGAACACCGGUGGCGAAGGCGGUCUGCUGGGCAGUAGCUGACGCUGAGGCGCGACAGCGUGGGGAGCAAACAGG